rnacentral:lncRNA from 1 species
UUGAAGAUCUGGAAGCAUCAAGGAAUGGUCUGUAGGCCAAGUUAAUCCAUUCUUCUCUAUUGGAUGAAUAUUAUGGCUCCUAGUUUGUUACUCUCAUGGUGUCCAAAUCCACUAGCAUUUACUGAUGUCAGUAUAUCUGGAUGGCUCUUCUAGGUUCUGGUCAUUCAUAUCAGCAGGAACAAUCUGUAGGCCAGUGUUGCCUCUACAAAAGGUUUUGGUAACUGGCCUCUGAACUGUGAUGGAACGAACUGAAGCUGCCAAUUAUUGGGUAGAAGGAAGCUGCUGGGAAAUCUAUACCAUUUUUUUUCCUUUACAGACAUUAACAGGUUGGCCUUCUGGGACAGUGUGGAUGGUUGGGUCUGUGGCAGUUCAGUAAAAUUCUGGAUACAAAUCAAGGAGCCCAUAAUACCUUCUGAACAGUGCCACAGAACAGGAAGAAGCGAAAGCAAGUUGAAUACAUUGGUGCAGAAGCUUCAUGACUUUCUGGCACACUCAUCAGAGGAAUCUGAAGAAACAAGUUCUCCUCCAAGACUUGUGAUGAACCAAAGCACAGAUAAAGUCAGUGGGUCUGGCAAUAACUCUGAUAUGAUGGAAAACAGCAGGGAAGAGGGAGCUAGCUCUGCAGAAAAAUCCAAAUCGUCAGGAUCCUCACGAUCAAAGAGGAAACCUUCAAUUGUAACAAAGUAUGUAGAAUCUGAUGAUGAAAAACCUUUGGAUGAAACUGUAAAUGAAGAUGCUUCUAAUGAAAAUUCAGAAAAUGAUAUUACUAUGCAAAGCUUGCCAAAAGAAGAUGGGCUUCAUGGGAUUGUGAGCUGUACAGCUUGUGGACAACAGGUCAAUCAUUUUCAAAAAGAUUCCAUUUAUAGACAUCCUUCACUGCAAGUACUUAUUUGUAAGAAUUGCUUUAAAUAUUAUAUGAGUGAUGAUAUUAGCCGUGACUCAGAUGGAAUGGAUGAACAGUGUAGAUGGUGUGCAGAAGGUGGAAACUUAAUUUGUUGUGACUUUUGCCAUAAUGCCUUCUGUAAGAAGUGCAUUCUUCGCAACCUUGGUCGAAAGGAGCUGUCUACAAUAAUGGAUGAAAACAACCAAUGGUAUUGCUACAUUUGCCACCCAGAGCCUUUGUUGGACUUGGUCACGGCAUGUAACAGCGUAUUUGAAAACUUAGAACAGUUGUUGCAACAAAAUAAGAAGAAGAUAAAAGUUGACAAUGAAAAGACUAGUAAAGUAUAUGAGCAUGCACCCAGAUUUUCUCCAAAGAAAAACAGUUCAAAUUGUAAUGGAGAAGAAAAGAAGUUAGAUGAUUCAUAUUCUGGUUCUGUAACCUACUCUUAUUCAGCACUAAUUGUGCCCAAGGACAUGAUUAAGAAGGCAAAAAAACUGAUUGAGACUACUGCCAACAUGAAUUCCAGUUACAUUAAAUUUUUGAAGCAGGCAACAGAUAAUUCAGAAAUCAAUUCUGCUACAAAGUUACGUCAGCUUAAGGCUUUUAAGUCUGUGUUGGCUGAUAUCAAGAAAGCUCAUCUUGCAUUAGAAGAAGAUUUGAAUUCAGAGAUUCAAGCUUUGGAUGCUGUAAACAAAGAGAAAAAUACCGAAGAGCAUAAAGUCAUAGAUGCUAAGUCUGAAACAAAAGUAAGAAAAGGAGAAAAACCUUGUGUUUUGGAAAGGAAGGAUAUUUCAAAAUCAGAAGGUAAACUGUCAAGAAAGCAGGUAGAUAGUGAGCAUAUAGGUCAGAGUGUUGCAGUAGAGGAACAAAGAGCACAUAAAAAUGCCAGUACUGAACAUAAGAAAUCUGAUAAAAAAGAACCUCAGUAUGAACCUACUAACACUGCCGAAGACUUAGACAUGGAUAUUGUGUCUGUUCCUUCCUCAGUUCCAGAAGACAUUUUUGAAAAUCUUGAGACUGCUAUGGAAGUUCAGAGUUCAUCAGAGUAUCAGGGAGAUGGCAACAGUGGAACUGAACAAGAACUGGAGACUUCUAUAAAAUUAAAUAUUACUUCAAAAGACAACAGAGGAGGUGCUGAUUGUCAGGAAGUUCCACAAGAUAAAGAUAGCUAUAAAAGUUCUUGUCUGAACCCUAAGCCAGAGAACUGUGAACUUGAACAGGAAAAGAAUGAUAAUGAGCAUUUGGCUAAAAGUGAAGUUCCGUUACUUUCAGAAGAAUCUGAUCUUCGAAGAUCCCCGCGUGUAAAGACUACACCUUUGAGGCGACAGACAGAAACCAACCGUACAACAUCUAAUUCAGAUGAAGAAAAUAAUGAAACAGUUAAGGAGCAACAAAAACUUACAGUUCCAAUGAGAAAAAAGGAUAAGCGGAAUUCUUCUGACAGUGCUAUAGAUAAUCCUAAACCUAAUAAAUUGCCUAAAUCUAAGCAGUCAGAGAUUGUGGAUCACAUUUCAGAUUCUGAAGAAAUGCUGGCAAUCCUCAAAGACGUGCCCAGUAUGAGUCACAGUUCUUCAGAUACUGAUAUUAAUGAACCUCAUACAAAUAACAAGAAGACUUUUUACUCAGAGAUUCAAAGAGGGAAAGAUGAUAAAAGAAAAAGGAAACGAAAAAGUUCUACUUCUGGCUCAGAUUUUGAUAUUAAGAAAGGUAAAUCAGUUAAAAAGUCUAUAAUUUCUAAAAAGAAACGGCAAAACCAGUCUGAAUCUUCUAAUUAUGACUCAGAAUUAGAAAAAGAGAUAAAGAGAAUGAGUAAAAUUGGGACUGCCAGAACAACCAAAAAAAGAGUUCCAAAUAAAGAAGAUUAUGAUUCUUCUGAAGAUGAAAAACACAACAAACAAGGAAUGGAUAAUCAAGGUCAUAAAAGUUUGAGGACUGCACAGGAAGGAUCAUCUGAUGAUGCUGAAAGGAAACAAGAGAGAGAGAAUUUCUCUUCAGCAGAAGGCACAGUUGAUAAAGACAAGACCAACAUGGAAUUGAGAGAUUGCCUCUCUAAGAAGCAGCAGCCUGAUGUUUCCUCAGAGAGUGCUGAUAAGCUUUGUUCUGGGAAAGAGGAGAGUUUUAAUUCUCCAGAAGAUAAAAAGUUUGCUGAAUCUAAAGGAAAGAGUAAGCACCAGCGAACCAGAAUGUGUAAGAAAAUACUGGGUGGCUUAUGUGAUGUUGCUGAGAAGUUCUCAGAGAAAGAACAGAGUGAUGAAUCCUCUGAAGAUGAUAACGAGCAGAGCAAAAAGGAAAUUGAAGAAAAAGAAAAGAAGACUGCAGACUUGAGUGAAAAAGUGAUGGAACAAGAGUAUGAAUCAUCAUCUGAUACUACUGAGAAAUUACCUGAGGGAGAAGAAAUUUGUCACUUUCCUAAAAGGAUAAAACAAAAUAAGAGCUCAGCUGAUGGGGAAAAGAAAUGCAAAAAAAGAAAAGAUAAAGCUUCUAAAAAGAAGGGUGAAUUAUCUGAUAAUUCUGAGAAGUUACCAGGGAAAAGAGAAAGUUGUGAUUCUUCAGAAGAUAAGAGGAGUAAGAAUGGAACAUCGAGUAGAGAGAAGAAAAGGUUCAACUUGCCUGAAAAGAGUUCGAGGAAGAGACAGGAUUGUUCAUCAUCUGAUACUGAAAAAUAUUCCAUGAAGGAAGAUGGCUGUGAUUUUUCUGAUAAGAGACCAAAAAGAAUAGAAUUAAGGGAAAGAAGGAAUUUAAAUUCAAAUAGAAAUAGCAAGGAAGUACAAAGUGGCUCAUCAUCUUCUGAUGUUGAGGAAAGUUCUGAAGAUAAUAAAAACCUGAAGAAACAAAGAACUUCAGCUAAAAAGAAGGCAGGCAGUAUGAAGGAGAAAAUGAGAAACUCCUUGAGAACAAGCACUAAAAGGAAGCAGGCUGACAUUACUUCCUCAUCUUCUUCUGAUAUAGGAGAUGAUGAUCAGAAAUCUGUAGGUGAGGGGAGCAGUGAUGAGCAGAAAAUUAAGCCUGUGACUGAAAAUUUAGUGCUGUCGUCACAUACUGGAUUUUGUCAAUCUUCAGGAGACGAAGCCUUAUCUAAAUCAGUGCCUGUCACAGUGGAUGAUGACGACGAUGACAAUGAUCCUGAAAAUAGAAUUGCCAAGAAGAUGCUUUUAGAAGAAAUUAAAGCCAAUCUUUCCUCCGAUGAGGAUGGAUCUUCAGAUGAGUCAGAAGAAGGGAAGAAAAGAACUGGAAAACACAAUGAAGAAAACCCUGGAGAUGAGGAAGUAAAAAAUCAAGCCAUUUCUGAAUCAGAUUCAGAUUCUGAAGAAUCUAAGAAGCCAAGAUACAGACAUAGGCUUUUGAGACACAAGCUGAGUCUGAGUGAUGGAGAAUCUGGAGAAGAAAAAAAGAUGAAGCCUAAAGAGCACAAAGAAGCCAAAAGCAGAAAUAGAAGGAAGGUGAGUAGUGAAGAUUCUGAAGAUUCUGAUUUUCAGGAAUCUGGAGUUAGUGAAGAAGUUAGUGAAUCUGAAGAUGAACAACGGCCCAGAACAAGAUCUACGAAGAAAGCAGAGUUGGAAGAAAAUCAGAGAAGUUACAAACAGAAGAAGAAAAGGCGACGCAUUAAGGUUCAAGAAGACUCAUCUAGUGAAAACAAGAGUAAUUCUGAAGAAGAUAAAGAAGAAGAUGAAGAAGAAGAUGAAGAAGAAGAUGAAAAUGAUGAUUCGAAGUCUCCUGGAAAAGGCAGAAAGAAAAUUCGGAAGAUUCUUAAAGAUGAUAAGCUAAGAACAGAAACACAAAAUGCUCUUAAGGAAGAAGAAGAGAGGCGAAAACGUAUUGCUGAGAGAGAGCGAGAGCGAGAAAAAUUGAGAGAGGUGAUAGAAAUUGAAGAUGCUUCACCGACUAAGUGUCCAAUAACAACGAAGUUGGUUUUAGAUGAAGAUGAAGAAACCAAAGAACCUUUAGUGCAGGUUCAUAGAAAUAUGGUUAUCAAAUUGAAACCACAUCAAGUAGAUGGUGUUCAAUUUAUGUGGGAUUGCUGCUGUGAGUCUGUUAAAAAAACAAAGAAAUCUCCAGGUUCAGGAUGCAUUCUUGCCCACUGCAUGGGCCUUGGUAAGACUUUACAGGUGGUAAGUUUUCUUCAUACAGUUCUUUUGUGUGACAAAUUGGAUUUCAGCACAGCUUUGGUGGUUUGUCCUCUUAAUACUGCUUUGAAUUGGAUGAAUGAAUUUGAGAAGUGGCAGGAGGGAUUAAAAGAUGAUGAGAAGCUUGAGGUCUCUGAAUUAGCAACUGUGAAACGUCCUCAAGAAAGAAGCUACAUGCUACAGAGGUGGCAAGAAGAUGGUGGUGUUAUGAUCAUAGGCUAUGAGAUGUACAGAAAUCUUGCUCAAGGAAGGAAUGUGAAGAGUAGGAAACUUAAAGAAAUAUUUAACAAAGCAUUGGUUGAUCCAGGACCUGACUUUGUUGUUUGUGAUGAAGGCCAUAUUCUAAAAAAUGAAGCAUCUGCUGUUUCAAAAGCUAUGAAUUCUAUACGAUCAAGGAGGAGAAUUAUUUUAACAGGAACACCACUUCAAAAUAACCUAAUUGAGUAUCAUUGCAUGGUUAACUUUAUCAAAGAAAAUUUGCUUGGAUCCAUUAAGGAAUUCAGGAAUCGGUUUAUAAAUCCAAUCCAAAAUGGUCAGUGUGCAGAUUCUACCAUGGUAGAUGUCAGAGUAAUGAAAAAACGAGCUCACAUUCUCUAUGAAAUGUUAGCUGGAUGUGUUCAGAGGAAAGAUUAUACAGCAUUAACAAAGUUUUUGCCUCCAAAGCAUGAGUAUGUUUUAGCUGUGAGAAUGACUCCUAUUCAGUGCAAACUCUAUCAAUACUACUUAGAUCACUUAACAGGUGUAGGUAAUAGCAGUGAAGGCGGAAGAGGAAAGGCCGGUGCAAAACUUUUCCAAGAUUUUCAAAUGUUAAGUAGAAUCUGGACUCACCCAUGGUGUUUGCAGCUGGACUACAUUAGUAAAGAAAAUAAGGGAUAUUUUGAUGAAGACAGUAUGGAUGAAUUUAUAGCUUCAGAUUCCGAUGAAACCUCCAUGAGUUUAAGCUCUGAUGAUUAUACAAAAAAGAAAAAAGCAAAGGGGAAAAAGGGAAAAAAAGAUAGUAGCUCAAGUGGAAGUGGCAGUGACAAUGAUGUUGAAGUGAUUAAAGUCUGGAAUUCAAGAUCUCGAGGAGGUGGUGAAGGAAAUGUGGAUGAAACAGGAAACAAUCCCUCAGUUUCUUUAAAACUGGAAGAAAGUAAAGCUACUUCCUCUUCUAAUCCAAGCAGCCCAGCUCCAGACUGGUACAAAGAUUUUGUUACAGAUGCUGAUGCUGAGGUUUUAGAGCAUUCUGGAAAAAUGGUACUUCUCUUUGAAAUUCUUCGAAUGGCAGAGGAAAUUGGGGAUAAAGUCCUUGUUUUCAGCCAAUCUCUCAUAUCUCUGGACUUGAUUGAAGAUUUUCUUGAAUUGGCUAGUAGAGAAAAGACAGAAGAUAAAGAUAAGCCUCUUAUUUAUAAAGGUGAAGGGAAGUGGCUCAGAAACAUUGAUUAUUAUCGUUUAGAUGGCUCUACAACUGCUCAGUCAAGGAAAAAAUGGGCUGAAGAAUUUAAUGAUGAAACUAAUGUGAGAGGGCGAUUAUUUAUCAUUUCUACCAAAGCAGGAUCUCUUGGAAUUAAUCUGGUAGCUGCUAAUCGAGUGAUUAUAUUUGAUGCUUCUUGGAAUCCAUCUUAUGACAUCCAGAGUAUAUUCAGAGUUUAUCGCUUUGGACAAACUAAACCUGUCUAUGUAUAUAGGUUCUUAGCUCAGGGAACCAUGGAAGAUAAGAUUUAUGAUCGGCAAGUAACUAAGCAGUCACUGUCUUUUCGAGUUGUUGAUCAACAGCAAGUUGAACGUCAUUUUACCAUGAAUGAGCUGACUGAACUUUAUACCUUUGAGCCAGACUUGUUAGAUGACCCUAAUUCAGAAAAGAAGAAGAAAAGGGAUACUCCCAUGCUGCCAAAGGACACCAUACUUGCAGAACUUCUUCAAAUACAUAAAGAACAUAUUGUAGGAUAUCAUGAACAUGAUUCUCUUUUGGACCACAAAGAAGAAGAAGAGUUGACUGAAGAAGAAAGAAAAGCAGCUUGGGCUGAAUAUGAAGCAGAGAAGAAGGGACUGACCAUGCGUUUCAACAUACCAACUGGGACCAAUUUACCCCCUGUCAGUUUUAACUCUCAAACUCCUUAUAUUCCUUUCAAUUUGGGAGCCCUAUCAGCAAUGAGUAAUCAACAGCUGGAGGACCUCAUUAAUCAAGGAAGAGAAAAAGUUGUGGAAGCAACAAACAGUGUGACAGCAGUGAGGAUUCAGCCUCUUGAAGAUAUAAUUUCAGCUGUAUGGAAAGAAAACAUGAAUCUCUCAGAGGCCCAGGUACAGGCAUUAGCAUUAAGUAGACAAGCCAGCCAGGAGCUUGAUGUCAAACGAAGAGAGGCAAUCUACAAUGACGUGUUGACAAAACAACAGAUGUUAAUCAGCUGUGUUCAGCGAAUACUUAUGAACCGAAGGCUCCAGCAACAGUACAAUCAGCAGCAGCAGCAGCAAAUGACUUAUCAACAAGCAACGCUGGGUCACCUCAUGAUGCCAAAGCCUCCGAAUUUAAUCAUGAAUCCUUCUAACUACCAGCAGAUUGAUAUGAGAGGAAUGUAUCAGUCAGUGGCUGGUGGUAUGCAGCCACCACCAUUACAACGUGCACCACCCCCAAUGAGAAGCAAAAAUCCAGGACCUUCCCCAGGGAAAUCAAUGUGAUUUUGCACUAAAAGCUUAAAAGAUUGUUAAAAUCAUAGAAAGAUCUUUUAUUUUUUUAGGAAUCAAUGACUUAACAGAACUCAACUGUAUAAAUAGUUUGGUCCCCUUAAAUGCCAAUCUUCCAUAUUAGUUUAAAAAUUUUUUUUAAUAGGGCAUACCAUUUCUUCCUGACAUUUGUCAGUGAUGUUGCCUAGAAUCUUCUUACACACAUUGAGUACAGAAGAUCUUUCAAAUUGUUUUCAGUGAAAACAAGUCCUUCCAUAACAGUAACAACUCCACAGGUUUCCUCUCUAAAUUUUUAUGCCUGCUUUUAGUGACCAUAAAAUUGUCAUAAAUUAAUGAAUUUAUGAAAGAAUACUGAUUUAUAUAUUCAUUCUUUACAUAUAAAGACACACAGCUGAGUUCUUAGAGUUGAUUCCUCAAGUUAUGGAAUACUUUUGUACUUAUCCAUUUCUUGACUAA